GACGAACGCUGGCGGCGUGCCUAAUACAUGCAAGUCGAGCGGGGCCUUCGGGCCUAGCGGCGGACGGGUGAGUAACACGUAGGCAACCUGCCCUUUGGACCGGGAUAACGUCGGGAAACCGAUGCUAAGACCGGAUAGGUUGGUUCUUCACAUGAGGAGCAUAGAAAGACGGAGUAAUCUGUCACCGAAGGAUGGGCCUGCGGCGCAUUAGCUAGUUGGUGGGGUAACGGCUCACCAAGGCGACGAUGCGUAGCCGACCUGAGAGGGUGAUCGGCCACACUGGGACUGAGACACGGCCCAGACUCCUACGGGAGGCAGCAGUAGGGAAUCUUCGGCAAUGGGCGAAAGCCUGACCGAGCAACGCCGCGUGAGUGAAGAAGGGUUUCGGCUCGUAAAACUCUGUUGCCAGAGAAGAACGUCUGAGAGAGUAACUGCUCUUGGAGUGACGGUAUCUGAGAAGAAAGCCCCGGCUAACUACGUGCCAGCAGCCGCCGUAA
rnacentral:rRNA from 1 species